CCCGUGCCGGAACAGGGGGACCCUUGGUCCUCCGGCCUUGAUCGGCCGUUCGGGCUGCGGCCGCCACGGCGGAGGCCGGCGGCAGACGGAGACCACCCCCCGGUCACGGAGGAGCGUAGCCGGCGAUCAAUUUCGAUCGCCGGCGCCAGAAAAUCCAAAGAAAAAGCUCAAGAACAGGGUCUCUUUUCCGUUCGGAAAUCGACGACUCU
rnacentral:lncRNA from 1 species